rnacentral:tRNA from 1 species
GCCUUCGUGGUGCAGUGGUUAGUACGCUCGACGCGAAUUCAAGAGGUCCGUGGUUCGAGCCCCGGCGAGGGCA